rnacentral:rRNA from 1 species
GACGAACGCUGGCGGCGUGCCUAACACAUGCAAGUCGGACGGAGCAUGACUUCGGUUAUGCUUAGUGGCGAACGGGUGAGUAACGCGUGAGGAACCUGCCUUUCAGUGGGGGACAACAGUUGGAAACGACUGCUAAUACCGCAUAAUGUCAUUUAGGGACAUCCCUUUAUGACCAAAGAUUUAUCGCUGAAAGAUGGCCUCGCGUCUGAUUAGAUAGUUGGUAGGGUAACGGCCUACCAAGUCGACGAUCAGUAGCCGGACUGAGAGGUUGAACGGCCACAUUGGGACUGAGAUACGGCCCAG